GGGGGUGUAGCUCAGCUGGGAGAGCAUCUGAUUUGCAUUCAGAAGGUCGCAGGUUCGAUCCCUGUCACCUCCACCA
rnacentral:tRNA from 3 species